rnacentral:lncRNA from 1 species
GAGCAGCGCCCCGUCGUAGUAUAUCGACAUCGUGGCGGCGGAGUAGUGUACCGGGACGACGUUGGGGUUCGUGACGUGGACGGUGAGGGUAAGCUCGGCGUCGAGGACGGGAAAAUUGAGCUUGAAGGAGCUGAGGCUGAUGGAGAUUAGGUGGAACGUCGGGUCCUUGGGCUUCGCCCGGAUUAAGAGGGCAGCCGCCGCCGCGGAGGCCCCUCCGGCGAUGGAGGAGACUCCUCCGGCGAUGAAGGAGACCCAGUUCCAUUUCCUAGCGCUUUUGCUCGCCAUUUUUCUGUUUCUCCGGCGGAUUUGUAUUUCGAUAUUUUUAGGUUCUUUGAGUGAGGGUGGAUAAAGAAAAGGAGAGCAGGGGGGGUUGAAGUUAUUCGGAAACGGCUUUGGUGCUAGGUUUUCGCUUUCGGGAAGGAGCAUAUGAAAUGACGGAAGUAGGCUUCGAGUGGUAGGUGGGGGAAUGGGGAUGGCGGUGAUUUCGAG